AUCAAAGUAUCUCACCUAUUUUUACCUGGAAAAAAGUAUUUUAUAAUUGAUUUAUAGCAUAUCAAUAUGUAACACUACACAGUGUCAAACUGUCAAUGUUUAAUAUUCCACACUUUUAUUUUUUUUAGUAGUAUAUACUGGGUACUUUGAUGUAUUCUGUACAGUUGUAAAUAUUUUUCAUUUCUUUCUGCUCUCUUAUCUCUCUUUCUGCUGUCUUUUCCCCUUUAUUUUGUCACAUGUGAUUAGCAGGUAAGUAUACUAUUGUAAUCUAAGGUCAAUAUUGAGUACUUUUUUUUAUUCAAAGCUACAAAGCAUACAAUAAUAAUAGAUUAUAAGCAUUGUUGUAUGGUCUUAAACCAAUUUUUCAUUUUAUUUGUAAGUUUUGGAUUUGGAUAAUAAUUUAUCCAAGUAAAUUUUUGUAGUAUUAUUUUGUAACAGUUCAUGGUGUUUUGAAAAUUUGCACUUGAAAGAUAAUGAACUUUGAAAUAUGGCAAAGAAUAAAGAAUUUGAAAUUG
rnacentral:misc_RNA from 1 species